rnacentral:rRNA from 1 species
AACGAACGCUGGCGGCAGGCUUAACACAUGCAAGUCGAACGCCCCGCAAGGGGAGUGGCAGACGGGUGAGUAACGCGUGGGAAUCUACCGUACCCUACGGAACAACAGUUGGAAACGACUGCUAAUACCGUAUACGCCCUACGGGGGAAAGAUUUAUCGGGGUAUGAUGAGCCCGCGUUGGAUUAGCUAGUUGGUGGGGUAAAGGCCUACCAAGGCGACGAUCCAUAGCUGGUCUGAGAGGAUGAUCAGCCACAUUGGGACUGAGACACGGCCCAAACUCCUACGGGAGGCAGCAGUGGGGAAUAUUGGACAAUGGGCGUAAGCCUGAUCCAGCCAUGCCGCGUGAGUGAUGAAGGUCUUAGGAUUGUAAAGCUCUUUCACCGAUGAAGAUAAUGACGGUAGUCGGAGAAGAAGCCCCGGCUAACUUCGUGCCAGCCGCCGCCGUAA